rnacentral:rRNA from 1 species
UACAGAGGUCUCAAGCGUUGUUCGGAUUCAUUGGGCGUAAAGGGUGCGUAGGCGGCGCGGUAAGUCGGGGUGUGAAAUCUCGGAGCUUAACUCCGAAACUGCAUUCGAUACUGCCGUGCUUGAGGACUGGAGAGGAGACUGGAAUUUACGGUGUAGCGGUGAAAUGCGUAGAUAUCGUAAGGAAGACCAGUGCGAAGGCGGGUCUCUGGA